CAGUAGCCGCGGUAAUACGUAGGUGGCAAGCGUUGUCCGGAAUUAUUGGGCGUAAAGGGCUCGCAGGCGGUUGCUUAAGUCUGAUGUGAAAGCCCCCGGCUCAACCGGGGAGGGUCAUUGGAAACUGGGAAACUUGAGUGCAGAAGAGGAGAGUGGAAUUCCACGUGUAGCGGUGAAAUGCGUAGAGAUGUGGAGGAACACCAGUGGCGAAGGCGACUCUCUGGUCUGUAACUGACGCUGAGGAGCGAAAGCGUGGGGGGCGAACAGGAUUAGAGACCCGAGUAGUCCCUGUCUCUUAUAC
rnacentral:rRNA from 1 species